CACUCCUACGGGAGGCAGCAGUGGGGAAUUUUGGACAAUGGGCGAAAGCCUGAUCCAGCAAUGCCGCGUGAGUGAAGAAGGCCUUCGGGUUGUAAAGCUCUUUUGUCAGGGAAGAAACGGUGAAAGCUAAUAUCUUUUGCUAAUGACGGUACCUGAAGAAUAAGCACCGGCUAACUACGUGCCAGCAGCCGCGGUAAUACGUAGGGUGCAAGCGUUAAUCGGAAUUACUGGGCGUAAAGCGUGCGCAGGCGGUUUUGUAAGUCUGAUGUGAAAUCCCCGGGCUCAACCUGGGAAUUGCAUUGGAGACUGCAAGGCUAGAAUCUGGCAGAGGGGGGUAGAAUUCCACGUGUAGCAGUGAAAUGCGUAGAUAUGUGGAGGAACACCGAUGGCGAAGGCAGCCCCCUGGGUCAAGAUUGACGCUCAUGCACGAAAGCGUGGGGAGCAAACAGGAUUAGAUACCCCUGUAGUCCCAUGAU
rnacentral:rRNA from 1 species